GACAGAGGUGGCCGAGCGUUAGGCGGAAUCACUGGGGCUUAAAGCGUGUGUAGGCGGACUGAUAAGUACCUUGUGAAAUCCCGACGGCUUUAACCGUGGAACUGCUUGGUAUACUGUCGGUCUUGAGCCAGCUAGAGGUUACCGGAACAAAUGGUGGAGCGGUGGAAAUGCGUAGAUAUCAUUUGGAACGCCAAUGGUGAAAACGGUAACUGGGGCUGUGCUGACGUGAGACACGAAAAGCCAGGGGAGGCGAAACGGGG
rnacentral:rRNA from 1 species